CCUACGGGCGGCUGCAGUGAGGAAUAUUGGUCAAUGGACGAGAGUCUGAACCAGCCAAGUAGCGUGAAGGAUGACUGCCCUAUGGGUUGUAAACUUCUUUUAUAUGGGAAUAAAAUGUUCCACGUGUGGGAUUUUGUAUGUACCAUAUGAAUAAGGAUCGGCUAACUCCGUGCCAGCAGCCGCGGUAAUACGGAGGAUCCGAGCGUUAUCCGGAUUUAUUGGGUUUAAAGGGAGCGUAGGUGGAUUGUUAAGUCAGUUGUGAAAGUUUGCGGCUCAACCGUAAAAUUGCAGUUGAAACUGGCAGUCUUGAGUACAGUAGAGGUGGUCGGAAUUCGUGGUGUAGCGGUGAAAUGCUUAGAUAUCACGAAGAACUCCGAUUGCGAAGGCAGUUCACUGGACUGCAACUGACACUGAGGCUCGAAAGUGUGGGUAUCAAACAGGAUUAGAUACCCUUGUAGUC
rnacentral:rRNA from 1 species